rnacentral:rRNA from 1 species
AUAAAAGGGGCGAAAGCUGAUCUAGCCAUGCCGCGUGAGUGAUGAAGGCCCUAGGGUCGUAAAGCUCUUUCGCCAGGGAUGAUAAUGACAGUACCUGGUAAAGAAACCCCGGCUAACUCCGUGCCAGCAGCCGCGGUAAUACGGAGGGGGUUAGCGUUGUUCGGAAUUACUGGGCGUAAAGCGCACGUAAGCGGAUUAGAAAGUUAGAGGUGAAAUCCCAGGGCUCAACCCUGGAACUGCCUUUAAAACUCCUAGUCUUGAGUUCGAGAGAGGUGAGUGGAAUUCCAAGUGUAUAGGUGAAAUUCGUAGAUAUUUGGAGGAACACCAGUGGCGAAGGCGGCUCACUGGCUCGAUACUGACGCUGAGGUGCGAAAGUGUGGGGAGCAAACAGGAUUAGAUACCCUGGUAGUCCACACCGUAAACGAUGAAUGCCAGUCGUCGGGUAGUAUACUAUUCGGUGACACACCUAACGGAUUAAGCAUUC